rnacentral:rRNA from 1 species
UCAAGCUAAUAAGGGCUAACGGUGGAUACCUAGGCACACGGAAGCGAAGAAGGACGUAGUUACCGACGAAACGCUUCGGGGAGCGGGAAGCAAGCAUUGAUCCGAAGAUAUCCGAAUGGGGCAACCCUAAACACGACCACCUGAAUACAUAGGGUGGAGCGAGCAAACCUGGUGAACUGAAACAUCUUAGUAGCCAGAGGAAAAGAAAGCAACAGCGAUUCCCCCAGUAGCGGCGAGCGAAAAGGGAACAGCCUAAACCAAGUUCUUCGGAACUUGGGGUCGUGGGACAGUAACAAAAGACUGGGAAAUUUAGACGAAGCGGCUGAAAACCGCACCAGAGAGGGUGAAAGUCCUGUAGUCGAAAAAGGAACCAGCUUAACUGCAUCCCGAGUAGCAUGGGGCACGUGAAAUCCCGUGUGAAUCUGCCUCGACCACGAGGUAAGGCUAAAUAUUCCCGUGUGACCGAUAGAGAAACAGUACCGCGAGGGAAAGGUGAAAAGAACCCCGGAAGGGGAGUGAAAUAGAACAUGAAACCGUUAGCCUACAAGCAAUGGGAGGACGAUUGAACGUCUGACCGUGUGCCUGUUGAAGAAUGAGCCGGCGACUUACAGGUUAUGGCAGGUGAAGGGGGAAGACCCCACAGCCCCAGCGAAAGCGAGUCUGAAUAGGGCGAAGCGUCAUAAUUUGUAGACCCGAACCCGGGUGAUCUAACCAUGGCCAGGAUGAAGCUUGGGUAAAACCAAGUGGAGGUCCGAACCGACUAAUGUUGAAAAAUUAGCGGAUGAGCUGUGGUUAGGGGUGAAAUGCCAAUCGAACUCGGAGCUAGCUGGUUCUCCCCGAAAUGUGUUGAGGCGCAGCGGUAGUGGAAGUUUAGUCGGGGUAAAGCACUGUUUCGCCGCGGGCUGGGAGACCGGUACCAAGGCGAGGCAAACUCUGAAUACGGCUAAAAAAACUACCAGUGAGACGGUGGGGGAUAAGCUUCAUCGUCAAGAGGGAAACAGCCCAGACCACCAGCUAAGGUCCCCAAAUGAUAACUAAGUGAGAAAGGAGGUGGGAGUGCAUUGACAACCAGGAGGUUUGCCUAGAAGCAGCAAUCCUUAAAAGAGUGCGUAAUAGCUCACUGGUCAAGCGCUCCUGCGCCGAAAAUGAACGGGGCUAAGUUAUCUACCGAAGCUGUGGACUACAUUGUAGUGGUAGGGGAGCGUUCUAUAGGGGGUGAAGCAGUAGCGGCAAGCAGCUGUGGACUCUAUAGAAGUGAGAAUGUCGGCUUAAGUAGCGAAAAUGUGGGUGAGAAUCCCACACCCCGAAACCCCAAGGUUUCCUCCGCAAGGCUCGUCCGCGGAGGGUCAGUCAGGACCUAAGGCGAGGCUGAAAAGCGUAGUCGAUGGACAACGGGUUAACAUUCCCGUACCGAUUAAUGAUUGUGCCGGAGAACGGAGAAGGUCAACGUCAGCUGGAUGUUGGUUACCAGUGCAAGCAGUCGAGGCGAUGAGAGGUGGAGAAAACACCAGGAGCUAAGACGCGAGUCCCACCUCCCACGGGAGGGAAGUGGCGUUGAUCAAGCUUCCUAGAAAAGCCCGAACCACGUUAAUCAUUAAUUGCCUGUACCCGAAACCGACACAGGUGGGGAAGUAGAGAAUACUAAGGGGCGCGAGAUAACUCUCUCUAAGGAACUCGGCAAAAUGACCCCGUAACUUCGGGAGAAGGGGUACCCUCGCAAGAGGGUCGCAGUGAAUAGGCCCAGGCGACUGUUUACCAAAAACACAGGUCUCCGCCAAGUCGUAAGACGCAGUAUGGAGGCUGACGCCUGCCCAGUGCCGGAAGGUUAAGGAAGUUGGUCAGGAGUAAUCUGAAGCUGACGACCGAAGCCCCGGUGAACGGCGGCCGUAACUAUAACGGUCCUAAGGUAGCGAAAUUCCUUGUCGGGUAAGUUCCGACCCGCACGAAAGGCGUAACGAUCUGGGCACUGUCUCGGAGAGAGACUCGGCGAAAUAGGAUUGUCUGUGAAGAUACGGACUACCUGCACCUGGACAGAAAGACCCUAUGAAGCUUUACUGUAGCCUGGAAUUGGCUUCGGGCUUCGCUUGCGCAGGAUAGGUGGGAAGCUUUGAAACUCUCCUCGUGGGGAGGGUGGAGCUAACGGUGAGAUACCACUCUGGCGAGGCUAGAAUUCUAACCCUGACCCCUAAUCGGGGCGGGAGACAGUUUCAGGUGGGCAGUUUGACUGGGGCGGUCGCCUCCUAAAAGGUAACGGAGGCGCGCAAAGGUUCCCUCGGUCCCGUUGGAAAUGGGACGAUAGAGUGCAAAAGCAGAAGGGAGCUUGACUGUGAGACCCACAAGUCGAACAGGGACGAAAGUCGGCUUUAGUGAUCCGACGGCACCGCGUGGAAGGGCCGUCGCUCAACGGAUAAAAGUUACUCUAGGGAUAACAGGCUGAUCUCCCCCAAGAGUUCACAUCGACGGGGAGGUUUGGCACCUCGAUGUCGGCUCAUCGCAACCUGGGGCUGAAGUCGGUCCCAAGGGUUGGGCUGUUCGCCCAUUAAAGCGGUACGUGAGCUGGGUUCAGAACGUCGUGAGACAGUUCGGUCCAUAUCCGGUGUAGGCGUAAGAGCAUUGCGAGGAGCCUUCCUUAGUACGAGAGGACCGGGAAGGACGCACCGCUGGUGUACCUGUUAUCGUGCCAACGGUAAACGCAGGGUAGCCAUGUGCGGAGCGGAUAACCGCUGAAAGCAUCUAAGUGGGAAGCCCACCUCCAGAUGAUUGCUCUCAUGGCAUUAAGCCAGUAAGGUCUCGGGUAGACUACCCGUUGAUAGGCUCUAGAUGGAAGCUCGGUAACGAGUGCAGUCGAGGAGUACUAACCGACCGAGGGCUUGACCUG